rnacentral:rRNA from 1 species
AGUGAACGCUGGCGGUAGGCCUAACACAUGCAAGUCGAACGGCAGCACAGUAAGAGCUUGCUCUUACGGGUGGCGAGUGGCGGACGGGUGAGGAAUACAUCGGAAUCUACUUUUUCGUGGGGGAUAACGUAGGGAAACUUACGCUAAUACCGCAUACGACCUACGGGUGAAGGCAGGGGACCUUCGAACCUGGGCGAAUGAAUGGGGCGAUGUCGGAUUAGCUAGUUGGCGGGGUAAAGGCCCACCAAGGCGACGAUCCGUAGCUGGUCUGAGAGGAUGAUCAGCCACACUGGAACUGAGACACGGUCCAGACUCCUACGGGAGGCAGCAGUGGGGAAUAUUGGACAAUGGGCGCAAGCCUGAUCCAGCCAUACCGCGUGGGUGAAGAAGGCCUUCGGGUUGUAAAGCCCUUUUGUUGGGAAAGAAAAGCAGCAGGUUAAUACCCCGCUGUUCUGACGGUACCCAAAGAAUAAGCACCGGCUAACUUCGUG